CUACGUGCCAGCAGCCGCGGUAAUACGUAGGGAGCGAGCGUUGUCCGGAAUUACUGGGUGUAAAGGGAGCGUAGGCGGGAUCGCAAGUCAGAUGUGAAAACUAUGGGCUUAACCCAUAAACUGCAUUUGAAACUGUGGUUCUUGAGUGAAGUAGAGGUAAGCGGAAUUCCUAGUGUAGCGGUGAAAUGCGUAGAUAUUAGGAGGAACAUCAGUGGCGAAGGCGGCUUACUGGGCUUUAACUGACGCUGAGGCUCGAAAGCGUGGGGAGCAAACAGGAUUAGAUACCCUGGUAGUCCACGCCGUAAACGAUGAUUACUAGGUGUGGGGGGACUGACCCCUUCCGUGCCGCAGCAAACGCAAUAAGUAAUCCACCUGGGGAGUACGACCGCAAGGUUGAAACUCAAAGGAAUUGACGGGGGCCCGCACAAGCAGUGGAGUAUGUGGAUUAAUUCGAAGCAACGCGAAGAACCUUACCAGGUCUUGACAUCGUAUGCAUAGCUCAGAGAUGAGUGAAAUCUCUUCGGAGACAUAUAGACAGGUGGUGCAUGGUUGUCGUCAGCUCGUGUCGUGAGAUGUUGGGUUAAGUCCCGCAACGAGCGCAACCCUUACUGUUAGUUGCUACGCAAGAGCACUCUAGCAGGACUGCCGUUGACAAAACGGAGGAAGGUGGGGAUGACGUCAAAUCAUCAUGCCCCUUAUGACCUGGGCCUCACACGUACUACAAUGGCUGUAAACAGAGGGAUGCAAAGCCGCGAGGUGGAGCGAACCCCUAAAAGCAGUCUUAGUUCGGAUUGUAGGCUGCAACCCGCCUACAUGAAGUCGGAAUUGCUAGUAAUCGCAGAUCAGCAUGCUGCGGUGAAUACGUUCCCGGGCCUUGUACACACCGCCCGUCACGCCAUGGGAGUCGGUAACACCCGAAGCCUGUAGUCUAACCGCAAGGAGGACGCAGUCGAAGGUGGGAUUGAUGACUGGGGUGAAGUCGUAACAAGGUAGCCGUAUCGGAAGGUGCGGCUG
rnacentral:rRNA from 1 species